UACAGAGGGUGCAAGCGUUAAUCGGAAUGACUGGGCGUAAAGGGCAUGUAGGCGGAUAGAUGUGUCAUAGGUGAAAUCCCCGGGCUCAACCUGGGAACUGCCUGUGAAACUGUGUAUCUAGAAUAGAGUAGAGGUAAGUGGAAUUUCCGGUGUAGCGGUGAAAUGCGUAGAUAUCGGAAAGAACACCAGUGGCGAAGGCGACUUACUGGACUCAUAUUGACGCUGAGGUGCGAAAGCGUGGGGAGCAAACGGG
rnacentral:rRNA from 1 species